GAUGGGGUCACGUGGCCAACCUGCCGCAAGGGAAAUAAAUAAAGAGGUUAUACUGAAUAAUGAGGAAUCAAAGGAAGAAGAAGAAAGAGAGAGGAAGGAAGGUUGGAAGGAAGGAAGGAGGGAAAAUUAGAAGGGGAAACCAUGAUUGCUGGUGAGGUUUUGAGCACAUUUUCCUGCAGGCUGGUAUGGGUGAGAGGUUUGGUCUUGUUUGCAAAUCUUCUGAAGGCCAUUCCAGAGGAGCAGUUGCCACUGCCCCAUCCCCUGAGCUCUGAGCGUGGGGGUUCCCCUGGGGAGACUCCUGGUGAGAGGAUGCCGAUUUCUGCUGAUCUGUCACUGGGUACCGAGGACUGGGUGUGUUUAAGGCAGACAGCCAGGUGAGGAUCCCAGCUACUGGGGCCUCGGCUGCAGAGCCCCCAGUGAGACAGCUGCUGUGGCAUGCUGCCUCUGCUACACACUCAAAAAACACUUGAGGACAUGACUUUUCCCUCUCAAGUUUGAUGGGAUCACUCUGUUCCUUCCAGACCCGACUUGUUCUCUACUAGAAUACAACAAAUCACUAGGCGUGGUUGCACAUCCCUGUAAUCCCAGCUACUAAGGAGGCUGAGGCACUAAAAAUACAAAAAAUUAGCUGGGCAUGGUGGCAGGUGCCUGUAAUCCCAGCUACUCGGGGGGCUGAGGCAGAAGAUUUCCCCUCUGUGAGUCUCAGUUUGCCCGUGUCUGCAAUGGGGUUAAUUACAUCAUAAGACACCGGCUGUUGUGAGCAGCGAGAUAAUCCCCAAGGCUGCUGACAGUGAGAAGGACUGAAAAGUGAAGGAGGAAGCACUGAGUGGGUGCCAGGAUAAGGAGGUGAGAGUAGGCAUGCCAAAGUUCCUUGUCCCUGCUGGCUCAGUUCCCGAACCUGUAUAGUGGGACUGUCAGGUUCAAGGAGAGGGACAUUGGUUGCAGGACUCACAGGGUUGCAAGGACUUUUGAUCAUUUUUUCAGGCUGUCUGCUGGGUGGGAAGACACCCAGGCUGAGAUCACAGCAAAGGCGUGACCUACGACAGGAAUUCUUUCUGUGGUAUCCCAUUUGAAUGGGCCUGAUAAGGUUUGGAUGUGUGUCCCAUCCAAAUCUCAUGCUGAAAUAUGAUCCCCAGUGUCGGCGGUGGGACCUGGUGGGAGGCAUUUGGGUCCUGGAGGCAGAUCCCUGAUGAAUGGCUUGGUGCCUUCCCAUGGUAAUGAAUAGGUUCUCUGUAGGUUCAUAGGAGAGCUGGUUGUUUAGAAGAGCCUGGCAUCUCUCUCUGUCUCUAUCUUGCCCUCUCUCUCACCAUGGGAUGCCCGCUCCCCUUCACCUUCCACUGCAAGUGAAAGCUUCCUGAGGUCCUCACUAGAAGCAGAGGCCAGGACUAUGCUUCCUGAACAGCCUGCAGAACGCUGAGCCAAAUACAUCUUUUUUCUUUAUGAAUUACCCAGCCUCAGGUAUUCCCUUAUAGUGAUGCAAAAUGGACCAACACAGGGCCUCAGUUUCCCAGUCUGUACUUGCGGCCUCUAAUAGAGACUCUUCCAGUGUUGGCCUGUGAUGAGGCUGGA
rnacentral:lncRNA from 1 species